GUACGAUGAUAUCACUCGAGGAGGAGUUCAGCCCGAACGGGGCCCUUUGCAGAACUACAUGGCACAACAACUCGGACGCCUCGCUAACGAGGCUGGUAUGGCAAUGGCUCAUGCAAACGAAGGAGACAAUGCCGGGGGGGCACUUUAGGGCAUUUGUCGAGAGAGUCCGUCGGAGCUGCAGGCAGAUGGCCGGUAGGCUCAAUUGCAUGGCUCGGCCAGACGAGGCGUUUGGUCUAGAGGCCUCUGGUGCGCGAACUUCAAGUGCACGUGGCCCCACUUCCAGCAUACGGACACCGAUUCACUACGGUGCCGCAACCGCUACAACUCCUGGGCAUUCUGGUUCGAGAAGCCGUUCAAGGACCACUUCCAGGACUAGUUCACAUGCCUUGUCAAGGGGCAAAGCUAUCCAGUCAUCCGAAGGCAGUGAAGAGUCCGACCGCCAAGGCGACUCAGAAGAUGAGGACCCAAGCUUUCAGGUGCUUAGGAUGUCGCAGAUGUUUGAUGCUCCCCUAGGAAUGCAGA